rnacentral:rRNA from 1 species
AUGCUCGUCGUGUGGGUCGGCACGCAGGUUGACGAGGCGUUCCAGGAAGCGUGGCAGUCCAACUCCGGCGGCAACCAGGUCCAGACCUGCUCCAAGGCGUACUUGUGCCCCAAGCUAUGGUACCUCCGCCUUAGCGUCAUCCAGGCGCAGGACUUGCGGCUGCCGUCGCCGCCGGAUGCCAAGGCGAAGCAGUUCGGCCCCACCUUCCCUGAGUUGUACGUCAAGAAGCAGCUGGGCGCCCAGGUGUUCAAGACCGGCCGCAUCGCGCUCGGCAGUGCGGCGGCCGGGGCGUCCAACCCAAGCUGGAACAAGGACCUGCUGUUCGUCGCGCCGAGCCGUUCGACCCUUUCCUGA